rnacentral:rRNA from 1 species
GACGUAGGGCGCGAGCGUUGUCCGGAUUUAUUGGGCGUAAAGAGCUCGUAGGCGGCUUGUCGCGUCGAAUGUGAAAUUUUAGGGCUCAACCCUGACAUUGCAUUCGAUACGGGCAGGCUUGAGUUCGGUAGGGGAGACUGGAAUUCCUGGUGUAGCGGUGAAAUGCGCAGAUAUCAGGAGGAACACCGGUGGCGAAGGCGGGUCUCUGGGCCGAUACUGACGCUGAGGCACGAAAGCGUGGGGAGCAAACAGG